rnacentral:rRNA from 1 species
GCGCCUUGCCAGCCCGCUCAGAAACUCAAAGGAAUUGCCGGGGGCCCGCACAAGCGGCGGAGCAUGUGGAUUAAUUCGAUGCAACGCGAAGAACCUUACCUGGGUUUGACAUACACCGGAAAACCGUAGAGAUACGGUCCCCCUUGUGGUCGGUGUACAGGUGGUGCAUGGCUGUCGUCAGCUCGUGUCGUGAGAUGUUGGGUUAAGUCCCGCAACGAGCGCAACCCUUGUCUUAUGUUGCCAGCACGUAAUGGUGGGGACUCGUAAGAGACUGCCGGGGUCAACUCGGAGGAAGGUGGGGACGACGUCAAGUCAUCAUGCCCCUUAUGUCCAGGGCUUCACACAUGCUACAAUGGCCAGUACAGAGGGCUGCGAGACCGUGAGGUGGAGCGAAUCCCUUAAAGCUGGUCUCAGUUCGGAUCGGGGUCUGCAACUCGACCCCGUGAAGUCGGAGUCGCUAGUAAUCGCAGAUCAGCAACGCUGCGGUGAAUACGUUCCCGGGCCUU